CUCAGCAGAGCCAUGUACCACCUCCAGGCCUGCUGGGAGCUGUUUUACCCAGAAACAAGGGGCCCAGUGACUUCCCAGGACCAUGCCCUCCAGAAUUCCAGACCCUUCCUGGGCUAGUUCCCCUGAGGCACGAAAGGACCAGAACCUACAAGAGCAGGCUCAUGGACGGCUUCCUGUCCCCAGUCGUCCAAAUCCAGGUCACCCAGUUCUGAAGGCCUUCUGUCUCACAUGGCCUGGACAGAGGGUAAGGAGCUCCGCUCGCCCUCUUCCUGGCACCACCGUGGGAGAGUCCCAGGGUUGGAAGUCCGAGUGUCACUGGAGCCACAGUGGGAACCGCCGGCUGAGGCCCUCCCCCCUCUUAAUGGCAUAAUAAAGUGCUUUGUUACCUGCGA